rnacentral:rRNA from 1 species
CCAGACUCCUACGGGAGGCAGCAGUGAGGAAUAUUGGUCAAUGGGCGCAAGCCUGAACCAGCCAAGUCGCGUGAGGGAAGACGGCCCUACGGGUUGUAAACCUCUUUUGCCGGGGAGCAAGCCUGAGCACGUGUGCCCAGGCGGAGAGUACCCGGAGAAAAAGCAUCGGCUAACUCCGUGCCAGCAGCCGCGGUAAUACGGAGGAUCCGAGCGUUAUCCGGAUUUAUUGGGUUUAAAGGGAGCGUAGGUGGAUUGUUAAGUCAGUUGUGAAAGUUUGCGGCUCAACCGUAAAAUUGCAGUUGAAACUGGCAGUCUUGAGUACAGUAGAGGUGGGCGGAAUUCGUGGUGUAGCGGUGAAAUGCUUAGAUAUCACGAAGAACUCCGAUUGCGAAGGCAGCAUACCGGCGCUCAACUGACGCUCAUGCACGAAAGUGUGGGUAUCGAACAGGAUUAGAUACCCCGGUA